CCCCGAAUCAAGCACGAACUGGCAGGCGCUGGGAAACUGGGCAGGAAGCAAAGAGAACCACUGUGCUGUGCGAGGCGCCCAAGCAGCUCUCGAGAGCCUGGCACGUAGUAGGCCAGAAGUCCAAAAUGAGUUGCACUAAAUCAAAAUCAUGGUGUUGGCAGGAUCACAUUCCCUCUGAAGUUCCAGGAACAAGUGUUUGGAGGGAACUGACCUAGGACCCCAUACUCUGACCACCCUCCAACCUCCUCUCCAGCCACAAGUCCAAGACCAUCUUCUUGGUCAUUCCCUGCCUCUGGAACCAACCAACCCUGAUGUUAGCCCUUUAUUGCCCACCAAUCAGGAGCUCCAAACUUCAUCAAGAUUAUUCCACUGAGAUGGAGGCCAUUGUCAAUGGCCUGGUCAACCUGCAUCUGCUGGCCUCUUAUACCCACUUCUUUCUGGGCUUCUAUUCUGACCACAGAGAUGUGGUUCUAGAAGGUAGAAGAUCCUUCUUCCGAGUGUUGACCAGAAGAAGCACCAGCGUACCUCAUGCCUCUAGAAGAGGGAAAAUCAGCACAAUGACUACACCCUCUUCAGGACCUGCAAAAGCUGUCUCAGGAUGAAAAGUGUAAAACCCUGGACACCAUGGAAGACUCUAUGGCCCUGGAGAAGAACUUGAACUAGGCUUGUGGGGAUUUGCACACUGUGGGCUUGGUCCACCCAACCCCCACCCCAUCUCUGUGACUUCCUGGAGAACCACUUCCUGGAUGAACAAGGGAAACUCACAUGUUGGAAGAAGUUGGACCACCACCUGACUAAUUUCUGCAGGCUGUCCAGCCCUAGUCUGGACUGGGAGAGUAUCUCUUGAAAAGUCUUACCUUCCAGAAAGACCAGGAGUCACCGGAGCCCAGCAGCCUUUGAGGAGUCUCUCUGCUCCCCACCUGAUGUCAGAGCUUCAGCCUGAUCCUAUAUCUAUAGGCAGGGGCAGCUCUUUAACCACCCUGGAAUCUUCUCUCAAGCCUUAGACCAAAUGGAAACAUUAAUGUUUUGCAGCAACAAACAAACAAAAGCCCUAUCUCUCUUUGUAGACAAUUGUUUAGUUGGAACACCCGAAAGGAUUGAAA